UUAUCGAUUAUGAAUCGUCGUCUUCUGUGCUGGCUCCGGCAUGUGCACGUUGGUGACUUUCAUUCCACACCCUUGUGAACCUUUGGCCUCUUGCUGGCUUUGGCUGGCAGAGGAUUUUUACACCCACACUCGAAUGUAAUGAAAAAACCCUUUGGUGCGCAAGCACUUAUGUAACAACUUUCAACAACGGAUCUCUUGGCUCUCGCAUCGAUGAAGAACGCAGCGAAAUGCGAUAAGUAAUGUGAAUUGCAGAAUUCAGUGAACCAUCGAAUCUUUGAACGCACCUUGCACCCUUUGGAAUUCCGAAGGGUAUGCUCGUUUGAGUGUCAUUGUACUCUCACACUUCUGAUCUUUUGGAUCGGGAGUGGUGGACUUGGGUGUUGCUGCUUCCGUGUGGCUCACCUCAAAUGCAUUAGUGCACCUCUUGAUUGAAACCAUAGUUCGGCGUGAUAAGCAUCUUCGCCGGCACCUCUCACCAGGAUGGCCAAUCGAGGGCUCUGUGCUUCCAACUGUCUUUGGACAACUCUGACAACUUGACCUCAAAUCGAGUAGGACUACCCGCUGAACUUAA
rnacentral:rRNA from 1 species